UCUUUGUGUUUGAGUAGAUUUUUUGUAAUGUAUCAAUAAGAUAGACCCAUGCUGCGAGUUGUUUCAUGCCAUAAAUAAACACGGACACUCAAAAAAUCUGUUGGGCA